rnacentral:rRNA from 1 species
AUUGAACGCUGGCGGCAGGCCUAACACAUGCAAGUCGAGCGAGCGGCGGACGGGUGAGUACUGUCUGGGAACCUGCCUGAUGGCGGGGGAUAACUACUGGAAACGGUAGCUAAUACCGCAUACCAUCAGCUUUGCCCAGUGGGGAUUAGCUAGUAGGUGGGUUAACGGCUCACCUAGGCGACGAUCCCUAGCUGGUCUGAGAGGAUGACCAGCCACAUUGGAACUGAGACACGGUCCAGACGCCGACGGGAGGCAGCAGUGGGGAAUAUUGCACAAUGGGCGCAAGCCUGAGGCAGCAAUGCCGCGUGAGUGAAGAAGGCCUUCGGGUUGUAAAGCACUGUCAGCGGGGAGGCGGUACCAGAAGAAGAAGCACCGGCUAACUACGUGCCAGCAGCCGCGGUAAUAC